rnacentral:rRNA from 1 species
ACCCGUUCCCAUGCCGAACACGGUCGUUAAGCUCUUUUGCGUCGAUAGUAGUUGGGGGCUUCCCCCUGCGAGCGUAGAUCGGUGCCGGGU